rnacentral:rRNA from 1 species
UACGUAGGGGGCGAGCGUUGUCCGGAUUUACUGGGCGUAAAGGGCGCGCAGGCGGUCUGGUAAGUUUGGCGUGACAGUGCUCGGCUUAACUGAGCAAGGCCUUCGAAAACUGCUAGACUUGAGCACUCAAGAGGGACAUAGAAUUCCGGGUGGAGUGGUGCAAUGCGUAGAUAUCCGGAGGAAUACCAAAGGCGAAGGCAGUGUCCUGGGGAGUGUCUGACGCUCAGGCGCGAAAGCUAGGGGAGCGAACAGG